GGGGUUGCAAAGAGUUGGACAUGACUGAGCCACUGAGCACCCAUGCACACCAGUCUAGGGUAGCUCCCAAGAUGCUGCCUUUCUAACAAGCUAACAGGCGAUACCAGUACUGCUGAUCUGUGGACCACUCUUCGAGUAACAAGAAUCUAGAUCACUGGUUCUCAGCACCAAUUGCAUGUUAGAGCUACCUAAAGUGAAAGUGUUAGUCACUCAGUUGUGUCCUACUCUUUGCGACACCGUGGACUACUUGUCCAUGAAUUCUCCAGACAAGAAUACUGGAGUGGGCUGCAAUUCCCUUCUCCAGGGGAUCUUCCCAACCCAGGGAUCAAACCUAACUCCCCUAACCUCCUAGAAGCAAGUGAGAGCCACCUAAUGUGCUUCUAAUUAGGGAGAACUUAGGUGCAGGGAGUUACACAAGCUCCUCAGCUGAUUCUAAUGAACAGUCAGAGUUGAAAAACACUUUGGAGACUGAAGCAGCUGCAGAUAUUGGGUGGUCAGUUGGAUGAAUCCCUGGCCAGAUAGAAGAAGUGCGAUGGUUACAGGAUGGUGGGGCUCCUGGCUUUCAAGCCUCUUCGUUGCCUGUGCUUCUUGCCUCUCCUCGAUGUCACUCUCUCUUCAUUUCCCCUUACCAAUCCAUCCACUUCUCAAAUCCUCAUCUCAAAAAGAGAAAAGUUGACCUGAAAAUCAACACUUCUUCCUAGAUCCCUCAGAAAACUGAGGUCACAAGGCAACCAUCACCCUGAAAGUUGGAGGGAUGAGAAAAUACAGAGAAUCUCAAUCUACCAGAAGCACAAGUCCACAGCUGGAGCCAGUAGCGGUGGGAACAUUGCAAACUUCUGAAUCCUGCCGGAAGUCGGAAAUCAAGAUGUCAGCGGGUGUCAUGGUGUUAACAGGUGUUGCUGCCUGCUGCGUCUUUAAGAGAGCGUCUGUUCCAUUCCUCUGUCCUAGUUUCUAAAGGUCCUGGUGACCGGAAGGAUUCCUGACUCUCCAGAGGUGCAUCCAGCUUUCCCACGUUAUCCUUCUCCAUGACCUGCACUGAUUUGUCUCUGGGCUGCUGCACAGCUGUAACCCUGCAGCUUCCCUUCAGCAUUGUUUGGGGGCUUCCUGCAGUCUCUGUUUGAGAUCCCCAUCUCCUAGACCCUGAAGAAACUGGCUGCUGCUAAGCUGCUAAGUCACGUCAGUCAUGUCCGACUCAGCGACCCCAUGGACUGAAGCCGACCAGGCUCCUCCAUCCGUGGGAUUUUCCAGGCAGGAGUACUGGAGUGGGGUGCCAUUGCCUUCUCUGAAAACUGUCUUCUGUAGCUCCAGUUUGCUAUUACCCUGAGUGUAGAGCCCUGUGUGGCCCUGGCCUGUUCUCCUUUGGACCUAAAAGUAACAGAGUUCUGCCUUUCAGCUGUCUGAGGGUCAUUGUGUUGUCAUGCCAUCAAAAGAAUCUUUAAACUUAUAAAACAACCCAUCUAUAGGCUGUCUAUAAGAAACCUACUUACAACAUAAAAACAAAAAGGUUAAAAGUAAAUAACAAAGGUAGGCCAUACAAUUACUAACCAUGAGAAAGCUGGAGUGGCUGUAUUGGAUCAUAUUCAAAUAAAAUAAUGUCCUUCGAACAAAGAAUAUUAUCACAGACAAAAAGAUAUUUCAGAGUGAUAAAGGGAACAAUUUGUCAAGAAAACAUAACAAUUCCAAGUGUGUAGGCCCACAAUAACAUAGCUUCCAAACACAGGAAACAAAAACUUUUGGAACUUCAAGGAGUAGACAAAGUUAAAAUUAUUGUUGAAGAGUUUAAUACUUCUUUCUCAAUAAUGAACAGAUGAAGUAGAAAA